UAUUAUUUAAUUUAUUUAAAAUAUUAAUUUUUGUAUUUAAAAAAAAGUUUAAAAAACUUAAUAAUGG
rnacentral:tRNA from 1 species